GACGAACGCUGGCGGCGUGCUUAACACAUGCAAGUCGAACGGAAAGGCCCUGCUUUUGUGGGGUGCUCGAGUGGCGAACGGGUGAGUAACACGUGAGUAACCUGCCCUUGACUUUGCGAUAACUUCAGGAAACUGGGGCUAAUACCGGAUAGGAGCUCCUGCUGCAUGGUGGGGGUUGGAAAGUUUCGGCGGUUGGGGAUGGACUCGCGGCUUAUCAGCUUGUUGGUGGGGUAGUGGCUUACCAAGGCUUUGACGGGUAGCCGGCCUGAGAGGGUGACCGGCCACAUUGGGACUGCGAUACGGCCCAGACUCCUACGGGAGGCAGCAGUGGGGAAUAUUGCACAAUGGGCGGAAGCCUGAUGCAGCAACGCCGCGUGCGGGAUGACGGCCUUCGGGUUGUAAACCGCUUUCGCCUGUGACGAAGCGUGAGUGACGGUAAUGGGUAAAGAAGCACCGGCUAACUACGUG
rnacentral:rRNA from 1 species